rnacentral:rRNA from 1 species
CCUACGGGAGGCAGCAGUGGGGAAUUUUGGACAAUGGGCGCAAGCCUGAUCCAGCAAUGCCGCGUGAGUGAAGAAGGCCUUCGGGUUGUAAAGCUCUUUUGUCAGGGAAGAAACGGUUGUUCCUAAUACGGAUGGCUAAUGACGGUACCUGAAGAAUAAGCACCGGCUAACUACGUGCCAGCAGCCGCGGUAAUACGUAGGGUGCAAGCGUUAAUCGGAAUUACUGGGCGUAAAGCGUGCGCAGGCGGUUAUAUAAGUCAGAUGUGAAAUCCCCGGGCUCAACCUGGGAACUGCAUUUGAGACUGUAUGGCUAGAGUGUGUCAGAGGGGGGUAGAAUUCCACGUGUAGCAGUGAAAUGCGUAGAUAUGUGGAGGAAUACCGAUGGCGAAGGCAGCCCCCUGGGAUAACACUGACGCUCAUGCACGAAAGCGUGGGGAGCAAACAGGAUUAGAUACCCUGGUAGUCCACGCCCUAAACGAUGUCUACUAGUUGUCGGUACUUAAUUGUUCUUGUACGCGAGCUACGCGNGAGUAGACGCCGUCGGGUAGGUACGGUCGCGAGAGUAAACGUACGAAAGAAGUUAGACGGCGUGAGACGUAGACGACGGACGACGACGAGGGGAGGAGG